ACUGCUCAGUAACACGUGGACAACUUGUCCUUUGGACCGGGAUAACCCCUGGGAAACUGGGGCUAAUACCGGAUAGAGCAUUGAUAGCUGGAAUGCGCGAUGCUCGAAAGCUGAGGCACCAAAGGGUAGGUCUGCGGCCGAUUAGGUUGUUGUUGGUGUAAUGGAUCAACAAGCCUUCGAUCGGUAUGGGUUGUGAGAGCAAUAUCCCAGAGAUGGGGUUCUGAGAGAAGAACCCAGGUCCUACGGGACGCAUCAGGCGCGAAAACUUUACAAUGUGCGAAAGCACGAUAAGGGAACUCUGAGUGCCUCCAAAGGAGGCUGUUCAGGUGUCUAAAAAGCAUCUGAAGUAAGGGCUGGGUAAGACCGGUGCCAGCCGCCGCGGUAACACCGGCAGCCCAAGUGGUGGCCACUUUUACUGGGUCUAAAGCGUUCGUAGCCGGCCAUGUAAGUUCCUCGGGAAAUUUGACCGCUUAACGGUUAAGCUUCCAGGGAAUACUGCUUGGCUUGGGACCGAGAGAGGUUAGAGGUACCUCAAGGGUAGGGGUGAAAUCCGUUAAUCCUUGGGGGACCGCCAGUAGCGAAGGCGUCUGACCAGACCGGAUCCGACGGUGAGGGACGAAGGCUAGGGUAGCGAACCGGAUUAGAUACCCGGGUAGUCCUAGCUGUAAACGAUGCGGGCUAGGUGUUGGCAUUACUGCGAGUGAUGCCAGUGCCGAAGGGAAGCCGUUAAGCCCGCCAUCUGGGGAGUACGGUCGCAAGGCUGAAACUUAAAGGAAUUGGCGGGGGAGCACUACAACGG
rnacentral:rRNA from 1 species